rnacentral:rRNA from 1 species
UUGAACGCUGGCGGCAUGCCUUACACAUGCAAGUCGAACGGCAGCACGGGAGCAAUCCUGGUGGCGAGUGGCGAACGGGUGAGUAAUAUAUCGGAACGUGCCCAGUCGUGGGGGAUAACGUAGCGAAAGCUACGCUAAUACCGCAUACGAUCUACGGAUGAAAGCGGGGGAUCGCAAGACCUCGCGCGAUUGGAGCGGCCGAUAUCAGAUUAGGUAGUUGGUGAGGUAAAGGCUCACCAAGCCGACGAUCUGUAGCUGGUCUGAGAGGACGACCAGCCACACUGGAACUGAGACACGGUCCAGACUCCUACGGGAGGCAGCAGUGGGGAAUUUUGGACAAUGGACGCAAGUCUGAUCCAGCCAUUCCGCGUGCAGGAUGAAGGCCCUCGGGUUGUAAACUGCUUUUGUACGGAACGAAAAGGUUUCUAUUAAUACUAGGAGCUCAUGACGGUACCGUAAGAAUAAGCACCGGCUAACUACGUG